rnacentral:piRNA from 1 species
UGCGAUAGAUAUUGCUUCCUAUCCUGGGCU